rnacentral:rRNA from 1 species
UACGAAGGGGGCUAGCGUUGUUCGGAAUUACUGGGCGUAAAGGGCGCGUAGGCGGCUCGGCAAGUUGGAUGUGAAAGCCCAGGGCUCAACCCUGGAAUUGCAUUCAAGACUGCCUUGCUUGAAUUCGGUAGAGGUUGGUGGAAUUCCCAGUGUAGAGGUGAAAUUCGUAGAGAUUGGGAAGAACACCGGUGGCGAAGGCGGCCCACUGGGCAGUCACUGACGCUGAGGCGCGAAAGCUCGGGGAGCGAACGGG